rnacentral:tRNA from 1 species
GCCGGGCCGUCGAGCGUAACUUCCUUGCUGGAUCGAAGGUUAGAUUCUCGGCCGCGCGGAAUCAUAAUCCGCGUGUCAGGGGUUCGAGUCCCUUCCCCGGUACCA